rnacentral:piRNA from 1 species
AAGGCCUGCGGAUGGAUAGAAGGC